GAUUGAGUAUAAGUAUGUCCUAUUCAAUAUUCAGGACAUACUUAUAUUAAAA
rnacentral:pre_miRNA from 1 species